CAUCUUAAUUGACUAAACACUCCAAUAAUAAGUUUAAACUACGAGUAACGACACACCCACAAAAAUUGAAACAAGAUCUAAAGACGCGUAACAAAAUACAGUGACCUUAUUAGUCUAGGAAUGGGUGUGUCAUGACGUAUGUUUACGAGCUACAACACUGAUGGCGCCGCAGAAUGCCUGUUGCGUAUUAUUUAAAACACCAAGGUCACUUGACUGCCGCCUCACGACAUGACCACCAAUGAACAUUCAACCAUAACACCUUACAUUUAAAGAUACAAAAUUGAUUAUCUAAAAAAAUGCGAAAAUUUACACGCGCACGCGAAUUAUCGCUCAGAUGGCCUUCUAGAUUUUAAGUAAUGCGCAUAAAUGUCAUAGGUACUUAUGUAUAUUAUAAUGAUUGUUAGGUACAUAUUUCGUCAUCAAUUACUUAAUCAAAACAUGUUUUUGAAAAAUAACUAUCGACAUGUGAAUUUGGCCUGCGGCCGCAUCUAGAUGUUAGUUAUUGUUAAAUCGGAAGAAAACCCAAGAAUGUUAUUUUGAUUUCUAAACCUAAGUGACUGGACAAUAGAAAGAAAGAAAUUUCUGCCCUAGGAGCAUGCACUGUUGUGUUUUGGUUUGAAGGACAUUGUAGCCAGUGCAAUUUCUGGACAUGACGACACUUAGGCCCACAUCCCUAACAUUACUUAGCUAAGUACGGAGCAAUGAUAUUAUUAGACUGCUUCUUAGUGUUUUCAGCGGGACAGCCCCAUAAUCAAUGCUGAAUAAAACCAAAGAAAACUUUGAAAUUGCCGCCACUAUUGGUUCGGGUGCACUAGGCGUGCUCAUAGUAUUGUGAAUAUGGAUAAUAACAUUCGAUGCUUCGGUGUAGAGAAAAAUGGAAAAAACCGGAUUUUUUUUAUCUUUGACCUUGAAUAAAAUUUUUGGCACCCAUAGGAUCAAUGAGGACUUUUGACAUUUUAUGGAUAAUGACGUAUUUAACGUCGAUACCAAUUUUCACCUCUAUGAGAAUUUUUCCUUACAGGUUUUUUGUCUAUUUUGACUGGUCUAAUAUGUAACCCAUUAAAUUACCAUUUUUAUGAA
rnacentral:lncRNA from 1 species